GACCCUGCUGGGUGCUUCGUGAACCUUUCCUCUCAGCUGAAGGUAUUGCUAGGUUAUUCUGGAAAUUGGGUUUUAAUCACCUGUUUCUCCAGGGUUUCUGGGGCAAACACGUACUGUCUGUUCAGGACGUGGAGGACUGUAUAAAACUAUCAUUUGUGGUUUCUGUUUUGGCACAGGUCGGACGCAGAGGGAUUGUUUCCAUGGCACAGAACCCGGGAGAAUGUAGCCAGCCUGCCCACCACUCUGCCCGGGCUGGUGGCCGUGAGAAGUGCGGGCGCCCAGCUCCGCGGAGAGGGUGGGCGCAUCCAGGGAGCCCAUGGAGGCAUUGCUGUUUGAAGCACGAAGAUGCAGAAGGGGACCGUCCACGGGGCCUCGGGGCCCCCAAGCCUCAGCACCCAUGGGGGCUUAGAUAGCAGACAUGUUCCUGAUGGAGGCAAAGUGUCUGAGGUCAGGGGCAGACGGGGUCCAGUUCAGGGCAGAGCCUUCCUGCCCGGUCGUCCUGUGCGGGAGAGAGGGCUCCGUCUUCUCUUUCCAUAAGGGCACUAGCCCCACCGUGAACCCCACCCUCAUGAACCCCCCAGCCCUUAUUGCCCCCCAAAGGCCACCCGCUUCCAAAUGCCGUCCUCCUGGGGUUAGGGGUGCAAUUUGCACUCAGGACACCACGUUUGUCCCUACGGUCCAGACAGUGAAAGGGGGUGAGGGUGGCCUCACACCGUAUGAUGUGUCCUUGAUGAGGGCGUGUCGCGUAUCCGCUACAGAACACGAAGGCGCCGCGAGUGGCACUGUUGGUUACCAAACUGGGAAAUGCGUUUAAGAAAAGUUCUCAACCAGGGAAGUUGUUUUACUUCCUGUUUGGUAAGGAGUAUGUUUGAUUUAAAAAUUUUCCAUUCUUCUGA